rnacentral:lncRNA from 1 species
ACCUUCUCCACCGAGGAUGCCAUCAUUACUUUUGCGGAGUAAACUGUUCCCUCACAGCGUCCCCCUCUAUUAAGUUGAAUCUCUUUUUUGUAAUUUCAGAAUAUUGCUUCUUUGAAGUGAGGGAAGGAAGUGGUGGAGGGAAGGUGUUUUUUCAUAGUGGUGUUUAAUAGAUAAAAUAAAGGACGCUGAGGACUGUAUUUCAGUCAGGGGUUGUAUUCGGUGAUAUUGGCUGCAAAAGUCCAACUUGUUCUAUCUUUUAAUUGAAAGGAGGAAGCUCUUUCAGUUUAUUGAGAAGGUCUUGGGGUGUCUAGUGUUCUUGAGAGAAGAGUUGAACAGCUGACCUGCAGGCAGGGUAGUAGCAUCUGGGUCUCACAGCUGAAAUGCCCCCAAAGUGCCCGUCGCCACCGUGUCUGCAUUCUUCCCUUCUAGGCAGAACUGCUUCUCAGAGUUCUUCCAAAAGAUGUCAGAAAAUCACCCACUGGCUUAUCCUGAGCUGGCUCUAGGGAGCUGGGAUCAUGCUGGAAUGAUGGCAGCUCCAGUUGAAGUUCGUGGUUGGAGCAGAAGGAAUAAUUCCUGGAUGACAGCAGGUCGUCUUCCCAGAAGGCAGUGAGUCGCACAGACAGAAGAGCCAUCUUGAAGUAGAAGUUGUCAUUUCAGUUUGUAGAAUGCAGUCUGAAGCCUCUCUUUACCACAGGGUACUGGGGGCCCCUCACGAAAUGCCUCUCUGCCCAUCUUUCAUUCGGCCUUGUUUCCUCCUCCCCACAGUACCCUCCCACCUGCCAUUCCAGAUGGCUGAGCCCACACAGGCCCUAGCAUCUCCCUCUGCCUCUGCCCACAGGGGAGACCUGGCCCCUUCCCACCUCCACCCGCAUCUCCUCAUGCCCCGCAGCACCUGCCUGGGGCACUUAUGGGGGUGCUUCUGGGGGUCAGAAUGUGUGUGUUCUCCUCCCCCCAGACACUCAGCGAUCCUGUUCCACCCAUCCUUGGUCCCCAGGGCCUGGCACACAGAAAGCACAGAAAUCAGUAUUUGCCUAGUAGUUGGAGGACCUCAUGACCAAUGCCUCAUAAUGGUGUUCAGGGCUCUGAGCCACUCGAGGACUUAGACGCAACACCAGCAGAGUCUCUGACACAGGACGGGCCCUGGGUGAACAGGUGUUAUCGCAUCGACAGCAAAAGCAAGACUGUCCCAAGGGGAAAGUGAAGCCGGAGUCACAGGGAGCAUUUAAAGAGGCAGACCUUUUCUCCCCGAGAAAAGAAUUCAUCGGAAAACGAUACUCACUUGCUGUUGCACUGGGUCUGGGAGUCCCAGGCCAUGGUUGUUUCUCCGUCUGUGAGUUGGUUUGGCUUGCACUGGCUGGUUUGGAGUUCGCGGUGAUGUUCUUUCUUCCGGGGGCCCUGCUUGGUCCUCACCUCUCUCUCUGCACCUUGCCUGCUCCAGCACGGUAGUCACAGCCCAGCUCAAAGGUUAGCAGCUGUUUCUCCAUAGACAUCUUUGCAAACAAAGAACAUCAAAGCUAGAGGCCUUUGUGCACACAGUCAGCACUUUGGCCUUCUGUCAGAAUAAGGUGAAUUUAAACGACCCCAGAAUUC